rnacentral:rRNA from 1 species
GUAUGCGAUCAUAACAGCACUAAAGCACCGGAUCCCAUCAGAACUCCGAAGUUAAGCGUGCUUGGGCGAGAGGAGUACUAGGAUGGGUGACCUCCUGGGAAGUCCUCGUGUUGCAUUCC